rnacentral:rRNA from 1 species
UACUAGAGUAGCACUCGCAUAUCAAUAAGCGGAGGAAAAGAAACUAACAAGGAUUCCCCUAGUAACGGCGAGUGAAGCGGGAAGAGCUCAAAUUUGAAAUCUUAAAGGGUUUCCCUUUACGAAUUGUAGUUUAAAGAAGUGUUUUCUGUUGAGGUUUUGGUAAAAGUUCUUUGGAAUAGGACAUCAUAGAGGGUGAGAAUCCCGUAUUUGACCUUUACUUUCAACUUUGUGAUACACUUUCAAAGAGUCGGAUUGUUUGGGAAUGCAGUCCAAAAUGGGUGGUAAAUUUCAUCUAAAGCUAAAUAUUGGCGAGAGACCGAUAGCGAACAAGUACCGUGAGGGAAAGAUGAAAAGAACUUUGAAAAGAGAGUUAAACAGUACGUGAAAUUGUCAAAAGGGAAGCGUUUGACACCAGUGUUGUUUUUCUGAAAAUCAAUUAAAGAACUGUUUAUGCUAAGUUGUUUAGACUUUAUCAGCUAUCUGCUUAGUUUUGAGCUUUUCUUUAAUGCACUUUUCAGUUAACAAGUCAACAUCAAUUUCUUUUGCUGUAAAAAAGCUUGAGGAAGGUGGCUUGAGAUUCGUCUUAAGUGUUUAUAGCCUCUUGCCUAUGCAGUCGGAGAGAUUGAGGUCUGCAGCGUAGAUCCUUCGGGGCUAAAUGCAUUUGUGCUAAGUUAUAGCAUUUUAUAGACAACUUGUUGACUAUGAUUUGUCUUGUAGCUUACUCGCUUAUGUUAUUUUACCUACGCUUAGGAUGUUGAACUCUAUCACACACAG